AGGGUCAAGAUGAUAAGGGCACACGGUGGAUGCCCUGGCACCCGAGCCGAGGAAGGACGUGAUUACCUGCGAAAAGCCACGGGGAGC
rnacentral:rRNA from 1 species